rnacentral:rRNA from 1 species
UACGUAGGGGGCUAGCGUUGUCCGGAAUCAUUGGGCGUAAAGCGCGUGUAGGCGGUCCGGUAAGUCCGCUGUGAAAGUCGGGGGCUCAACCCUCGGAUGCCGGUGGAUACUGUCGGGCUUGAGUACGGAAGAGGCGAGUGGAAUUCCUGGUGUAGCGGUGAAAUGCGCAGAUAUCAGGAGGAACACCAAUUGCGAAGGCAGCUCGCUGGGACGUUACUGACGCUGAGACGCGAAAGCCAGGGGAGCUAACGGG